rnacentral:tRNA from 1 species
GGUCUUAUAUUCAUAAUUAUGAUAUUAGAAUGCAAUUCUAAUGGUGUAUAUAAUACUAAGACUU